rnacentral:lncRNA from 1 species
CCCCUUUGCUUCCUUGUGCUCUGUACAUCAGAAAGCAUCCUUUAGACAAAAGAUCAAUUUAGUGAUAAACAAUAGUCUUUAUAAUGGAUAUAUAACAUAUACUUUACACAGAUGAUUCGGAAUUAGUUGGUUGACUACACAUAUAGGUAGUCAUUUUGCUGCUGCUGCUUUGUUUACUGUUUCAUUGGCAGAUUAUGGCUAUAAUACCCCUGACAUUAGUUUCAUUGGCAAGUCGAGCUUUAGGAGUGUUGGUAGUAUUACAGCCCAAUUAGUUUGCCCUGCAUAAACGCAUCAAACUAUUAGCAAAGGGACACAGGAAACCAAAAUGAAGUUAUGUGAAAGAAACAUUUAAGUACAUGGAGAUCAAGUUGCCGUUAAGGUCCUUCAACAUUGAUAAUCUCACCUUUGGUCAAUGUUUGUUGUUUGCACAGAACCAAUAAGCCAAGUAAGAACCACACCACCAGUAAUGGGACUAAUAAGCACAUUAGCCUGUCAAGCAAGAAUUUGAAAAAUUAGGCUAUUUAGAAAGUAAAAUAAAUGUUCAGAUCGAUGUUGACGAAGCCCAGAUUGCUGGGAAGGGCUGAGGACGGAGCCGUCAGUCAAAGAGGAUGAGAUCGUUCUUGACGACAGUGAGGGAGUGCUUGGCACGGUGAGGGAGGACUGGGUGCUUGGCGCACCAAGGGAGGACUGGGUGCUUGACAGAGAUGGUGUUCUGUCGAUGUGGUUGUCGACGGCGGAGGAGAGGUGAAGAAGUCCCCCUCCCCCCACAUGGGGAAAAGAAUGGGGUUUGAGAAAGAAAUGGAUUUGGGGAAGAAUCGGGAUAUGCAGAACUUUAAGUAGAAGAUUUCGUUUGUGGAAAUUUUUGAAAAUUUUCGUUUGAAAUUGCUUCAAAAUUUUAGCGGAAAGAUUGCCCCCAAAAUUUUGGUCACUUGACCGACGAAAUUUACCAAAUUUGUCGCUUGUGUGUCCAAAUUUUAUUACUUUUCCACGAUCUUACUCAAAUUUAGUAAUUAAACAAAUAUUCAUAAAAAAUAAAUACGAAUGAAAUAAAAUUAUUAUGAGAAAUCAUUCACAUUUAAUAACGAAUCUUUUUUAAUAGAUGCAAUAAAAGUUUACAACAUUAUACUAAAAUUACAUUUAAUGCAAAUUCUAUAAAAAGUUACAUAAUUUACUUUAAUCGGUUAUCAUAAUUAUUGACAUUAUACAUCAUUUUGAUUCUUAUCAAUUUAUAAAAUAUGUUUCAAAAUCAAAACAAUCUUAACACAAAUCGAACAAAAUUCGGUUUGAUUUAUUCUUCAAUCAAUCAUGGUAAUUUACUGAUAAUCAUAAGUGAAGAUAAUUAUGGUUGACCGUUUGGAUCGAGCUCCGGACGUUGCCAAAUCAAGUUGAAUUUUAUACCAUAGCCCUGUUUUACUAUAACGAUCAUAUUAAACGGACGAAUUUUCAUUUUGUGAAUUUUAGUCAUCGGAAUCACAACGUGCCUACUAAUGUUAUAUAACUUGUUUAGUAGGUUAUACAACUUUGUGAAUCAACUAUAUAGAGGAUGCAAAAUUUUUAAAAAUCUCGUGAAAUAAGAUGUGAUCGGAAUGGUGAAAUACAGCUAUGGUUGAAAAAUCACGUUUUUCGGGUAACGUUUGGGUGCCGGUAAAAGCGGUCAACCCUGUUUACACUUAAUCUUCCCAAUGGGAGCCCUAUCUUCGGGAGAUAAACGUCUCCAAAUUUUUAUAUGUGCUGUUACGUCUCAUCUGUGUGAGAGUUUAACGUGUGAAAAAAUCGACCAGACUAGGUCACGGAGAGGUAGGUAAGAGCAUUUCCGUGUGAUAAGUGACGAUGGAUUAUGGUUGACCGUUUCGAUCGAGCCCCGAACAUUGCCGAAUCCAGUUGAAUUUUAUAUCAUAGCCCUGUUUUACCAUAACGAUCAUAUCAGACGGACAAAAUUUUAUUUUGUGAAUUUUAGUCAUCAGAAUCACAACGUGCCUACUAAUGUGGUAUAACUUGUUUAGUAGGUUAUACAACUUUGUGAAUCAACUAUAUAGAGGAAGCAAAAUUUUCAAAAAUCUCAUGAAAUAAGAUAUGAUCAGAAUAGUGAAAUACGACUAUGGUUGAAAAAUCACGUAUUUCGGGUAAUGUUUGGAUGCCGGUAAAAGCGGUCAACCCUUUUUACGCUUAAUCUUCCCAGUGGGAGCCCUAUCUUCGGGAGGUAAACGUCUCUAAAUUUUUAUAUGUGCUGUUACGUCUCAUCUAUGUGAGAGUUUAACGUGCGAAAGAAUCGACCAGACUAAGUCAUGGAGAGGUAGGUAAGAGCGUUUCUGUGUGAUAAGUGACGAUAAAUUAGGGUUAACCGCUUCGAUCGAGCCCCGAACGUUGCCGAAUCCAGUUGAAUUUUAUACAAUAGCCCUAUUUUACCAUAACGAUCAUAUCGGACGGACGAAUUUUCAUUUUGUGAAUUUUAGUCAUCAGAAUCACAACGUGCUUACUAAUAUGGUAUUAUAACUUGUUUAGUAGGUUAUACAACUUUAUGAAUCAACUAUAUAGAGGAAGCAAAAUUUUCAAAAAUCUCGUGAAAUAAGAUGUGAUUAGAAUAGUGAAAUACGACUAUGGUUGAAAAAUCACGUAUUUCGGGUAACGUUUGGGUGCCGGUAAAAGCGGUCAACCCUUUUUACGCUUAAUCUUCCCAAUGGGAGCCCUAUCUUCGGGAGGUAAACGUCUCUAAAUUUUUAUAUGUGCGGUUACGUCUCAUCUAUAUGAGAGUUUAACGUGUGGAAGAAUCGACCAAACUAGGUCACAGAGAGGUAGGUAAGAGCAUUUUCGUGUGAUAAGUGACGAUGGAUUAGGGUUGACCGCUUCGAUCGAGCCCCGGAUGUUACCGAAUCGAAUUGAAUUUUAUACCAUAGGUCUGUGUUACUAUAACGAUCAUAUCAGACGGACGGAUUUUCGUUUUGUGAAUUUUAGUCAUCAGAAUCACAACGUGCCUACUAAUGUGGUAUAACUAGUUUAGUAGGUUAUAUACAGGUGUACAACUUUGUGAACCAACUAUAGAGACGAAGCAAAAUUUUCAAAAAUCUCGUGAAAUAAGAUGUGAUCAGAACAGUGAAAUACGACUAUGAUUGAAAAAUCACGUAUUUCGGAUAACAUUUGGAUCCUAAUAAAAAUGAUCAACCAUUUUUACGCUUAAUCUUCCCUAUGAGGAGCCCUAUUGUCAGGGGUUAAACGUUUUCAAAUUUUUAUAUAUGUGGUUACGUCUUAUCUAUGUAAGAGUGUGUGGGUAGAAAUCAACAAAAAUGGGUCACAGAAGGAUAGGUAACAACGUAUUCGCAUGAUAAGUGACGUGAAACUAAAGUUGACCGCUUAGAUCGAGCCCUGAAUUUACAAUCAUUCCCCGGAUAAUGAUUU